rnacentral:rRNA from 1 species
UACGGAGGGAGCAAGCGUUACUCGGAAUCAUUGGGCGUAAAGGGCGCGUAGGCGAUUCGGUAAGUCUCAUGUGAAAGCCCACAGCCUAACUGUGGAAGUGCAUGAGGUACUGUCGAAUUUGAGUUCAGGAGAGGAAGGCAGAAUUCCCGGUGUAGCGGUGAAAUGCGUAGAUAUCGGGAGGAAUACCAGUGGCGAAGGCGGCCUUCUGGACUGACACUGACGCUGAGGCGCGAAAGCCAGGGGAGCAAACGGG